rnacentral:rRNA from 1 species
GAUGAACGCUAGCGGGAGGCUUAACACAUGCAAGUCGAGGGGCAUCACGAGGUAGCAAUACUUUGGUGGCGACCGGCGCACGGGUGAGUAACACGUAUGCAACCUACCCUGUACAGGGGGAUAACCCGGAGAAAUUCGGACUAAUAUCCCAUGCAAUUAUUGGAGGCAUCCUUUGAUAAUUAAAGCUCAGGCGGUAUAGGAUGGGCAUGCGGAACAUUAGCUAGUUGGUAGGGUAACGGCCUACCAAGGCUACGAUGUUUAGGGGACCUGAGAGGGUUAUCCCCCACACCGGUACUGAGACACGGACCAGACUCCUACGGGAGGCAGCAGUGAGGAAUAUUGGUCAAUGGGCGCAAGCCUGAACCAGCCAUCCCGCGUGAAGGAAGAAGGCCCUAUGGGUUGUAAACUUCUUUUCCAGGGGGUGAAUAAUUCCGAUGUAUCGGGAGAUGACGGUACCCUGGGAAUAAGCAUCGGCUAACUCCGUG